rnacentral:tRNA from 1 species
AGGGACGUAGUGAAACGGUUAUCACGGCAGUCUCCAAAACUGCUUUUCACGGUUCGAAUCCGUGCGUCCCUGC